CCGGUGUCAUUUCCUAAGAGGAUAAUAUUGUUAGGUAUGAUUCAAUAGUGGUAGAUUUCUUUCAACAACCUAAUGUAGUGGUAGAAAAGGGGGAAAAACCUAAACUAGGGCACAUAGAUUUUAUCGGAUGCUAGAAUCAAUCUGUAGUCCUCUAUGGGAAGGAUUCGUUCACUCACAACUAUCAAUUGCUACUAGAAUGUUAGGAACUAAAUUUGAGAAUAAUCACUCAUUAUACUCUUGCGACCAAGUGAUUAUGUUAGUUAGGAAAGUUGUAGAGGAUCCGAGUGAUAUUCCCAAGAACUAUUACGGAGCCAAGAAGGUUUUUCGUAAUUGGGGUCAAAGGCUGUUAAAAUAUAUUGUUGCUUUAACAACUGUAUGAUACAUUACAAGGAUGAUGAAGAGCAAACUGAGUGUAAGUUUUUUUAUUUGCGGAGAUUUGUCCCGGUAAAUAUACUAAGAAAGUUCCAUACAAGUGAAUGCGUUAUUUAACCCUAAUCCUUAGGCUCCAAUAGUUGCACACUUCAAUGAGUCUUCUACUCACCUGAGGUGGCAUUUCAACAACCUCCAAACAGAUAAUCUCAUAACCUAUCCUUUUCAUAAGGAAGAAUGUUUUCAAUUUGAUAAAAAUAACACCCACAUUUUGCAGCCGAACCUAGAAAUAUCAGGCUUGGUCUUUGUUUUGAUGGAUUUGUCCCUAACAUCCACUUUAGUAUCCAUUAUUUACGUUGGCCUGUCAUUUUUUCUCUUACAAUCUUUUGCCUAAUAUGUAUAUGAAAGAUCCUUAUUUGCUCUUAACUUGUGUUAUUCUCGACCUAGAUAAUCUGAAAGUCAAAAUAGAUGUAUAUCUUCCACCCAUCGUUGAUGAAUUGAACCAGUUGUGAUAUCUUAGAUUUUAACUUAUGAUGUGUCAUCUAAAGUCAACUUUACACUUAAGCCACCUUAAUUUGGACAAUUAAAAUUUUUCUGGUUAUUGGAUGUUGUCCAAUUAGAUGGCACAGGAAAGUUAUCCUAUCCAAUUUGCAUGGAGGACAUUAAGGCUUCUCAACUUAAGUACGUUGGAAAAAAAAUCUUGAUUUGAUUGUCACGGAAGGUUUUUAUUUGAGAAUUAUUUCUACAUACACAAUCAAACUACAUUUAGGAAGAAUAUUGAGGGACAUGAGGAGCCUCCUGUCAGAUUGAGUGGUGAAGAGUUGUGGUUAAAGGGUUAUCCCAGAGUAGUUGACACAGGCCAUUAGUUACAAUUUUUUGGUUAUGAUAACGAACAUAACUAGACUAAGAAGAGUAUAUUUUAGAACUUACUGUAUUGGAAGGAUCUUCAUGUCCGUUAUUUUCUCGAUGUGAUGCAUAUCAAGAAGAACGUGUUCAACAAUGUCAUCUACACGGUAAUGGAUAGUCAUAGAACCUAAGAUAACCCCAAAGCUAGGCUAGGCUUAGAAGGCCAGGACAAAAUCUUAUGUUAAUGGGGAUGGUAGAUAGGCUAAGCCAAAAGAGUGUUAUGUUUUUAACUUUAGAACAAAAUUAAACACGUGUCGGUGGUUAUAAGAGGUGAGGCUUCUUAAUGGUUAUGCCUUCAACCUUAGCAGGUGUUUUAAUGUCACUCAUCAAAGACUUCAUGGCACGAAAAAAGUUGUAAUUGUCAUGCUUUCAUGGAAUGCCUACUCCUGGUGGCCUUGAGAGAGUUUUCUGAUCAAGUUUGGAAGCUAUUAACAAAGCUUAGUCAAGGUUUUAGAGAUUUGUGUUCUCUCUCUAUCUGUAGAAAAUCUUUGUGUAGUAGAGCACAACAUUCCAAUCAUCCUUUGUAAGCUAGAGAGAAUCUUAUCUACUGGCUUUUUUAACGUCAUAGAACAUCUCCCUAUUCACAUGGCAUACGAAUCACAUGCAUGUGACUCGGUACAGUAUCGAUGGAUGUAUCCCUUUGAGUGUCAAGUUGGUGUUUAUAAGAGGUCAUUCAAGAAUAGAGUCGGGUAGAAGGGUUCUACAUGUGAGGCGUACAUGUUGAAAGAAACUACCUACUUCUGUUUUUACUACUUUGAACCUCUCGUGAAAUCUAGUCGCACAAGAGUAGGUCGUAAUGAUCCCGAUGAUGAAGGUUCGUUUGAGCCAAUGGUGUCUAUCUUCAAUCAAGUUGGCACACUUGGGUGAAGGAAAAAAAAUUGGUGGUUGAACUUCACAGAAGUGAACAUAGCUCACCUACAGAUUCUCCUAAAUUGUUUUAAAGUCAAUGAAAUCAUAAGGUGAUAUGGCACGAGAUAGCAAUACGAGGAUGACGUGAUGAUGGGAGGGGUAUUGCCAUAAGGGAUGCCCAUCCCACUUGAUUUAGGUGCAUCGUCAACAUGCACCCAACCUACUACCACCACGACUACUACCGCUCUUGUGAUUUUUGCACCGACCUUGUCACCCAGGUUGUAGUCACAGCUGUUAUAGGGGUUAGACCCUAUCAGCAUGAUCCUGACUCUAGGUCUAUCUUUUGAUAUGAGUGGCUUUCAAACACAGCCAUAACCAUAUAUACAUCCUCAGCCUCAGCCACAAUCUCAGUCACAGCCAUGGUCUCAGCACAACCAUAGCCUCAACCCCAGCCAUAGCCACAUACAUAGAACUAAACACAACCAUUGUUUUAGCCACAAUCUUAGGCUCAGACUUGGCCACGGCCAUAGCCACAGCAACAAAGAAGGUGUCACAUCUAUGCAGCCUGCUAAUCUGAGUUAGGACCUUUCGAGACCUAGGAUGGAACAUAUUACUUGGGUUUUCAAGAUCCACUAUAAGUGGUUUAAUUCAUACCCAGGUUUAUCAUGGCUUCAGAUGAAAUUCACAAUCUUUUGUGGCGACUAUUUAAGUACCACUUUGAGCUUGUCCCGAGAGAAGAGUAGAAGAUUUACAAUGCCUGGCGGGUAAAAGAUACCAAGUGUCUCCGGGAGAUGCUAUCAAACAUUUGCAACAACGGUACUCUUGUAGACUGAAUCCCAGACGAUAUUCUCACCCGACUAAAGGAGUAUUCAAACUCAAAUAAUUAUGGGUGACCUGGACUAAGGCACGAGGCAGUAGAGCUUCCGAGAUUGGUGGAUCCAUGCACACGGGAGGAUCAACUACUUAUAGGGUGACAAAGAAAAAGAUGGUUCGUAUUAUUUAAAUUUUUAAUUAUGUUAUUAAUUUGUCUACUUUAGUAUUGAUUAAUAUGAUACAUAAUGACUUAUUGUAAUUCUAAACCCUUUUCACAGCGUUUGAUUACAUUGAU